UGGGCGGUAUGACCCAAUAUUUAUGUCACGGUAUUUUUCAAAAUUAUACAGAUUUCACGGUACAUGAUGUUAUUUUAUUUCAUACAUGAA